rnacentral:rRNA from 1 species
AUGGAGGCAGCCAUGGGCGAUGGGGUAGAAGAAGAAGGGAGGUCAAACACAAAUCAGAAAAGAGUUGAAGAAGAUGUUGUACCUGACGAGCAGCAAGAAAGAAGAUCAUCAGAGAGGAAUCCGCAACAGGAUCCACAGGACAGGAGCACGAUGAGGGCACUAGCUGAAGAUGACCUACUGAGACUAUCACAGGAAGAACUGAUACUCAAUGACACAUUUUCAUUCACUGCCCUCCUUCAGUCAGACAUUAUAUACAAGGUACAUUCAGGAGAUGCAUCGACGAAAAUUAUGGGAACUAUUGAGCAGAACUCCAGGACCAAAGCAGAUGAUAGUUUCACCACAACAAUAGACACCAAUACAUUUGAGGGAGACUUGCAUCACGAAGUGGCAGCAAGUGAAGAUGGUGGAGGAGAAUCUAAUCCAUGGGACACAGACCUGUUCUACAACAUGAAUCUGCAACAGGAGCCUGAGGAUGUUGACAUAAGAAGAGCAGCAGCUAAAACAAACUCAAGCACAUGCUGUAGCAAUGAAGAAGGAGAAAGAAAAGAACCAGAACACUCACUUGAACAAGACGGAGAUGAUGAAUUCCUCGAUGAAGAAGACGUUGAGAGAUUCCUGCAAAAUGAACAAGAUGCUGCAUCAGAAGGCAAUCUGAUGAACACGAACAGUAAUUUCAAGCCACAUUUAGGCAUGCAGUUCAAAACAAAAGAAGAAGCUCAGGAAUAUAUAAAUUUCUACUCGAAACUAGCAGGCUUUUCAGUGGCUACUGUAGCAAUCUCCAGAACAACAAGCAAAAAGAGGAACAAUGAGGUGACAAGGAUCACUAUGAAGUGCAACAAGUGGGGCAAGACAAAGGAAAUAGAGACAGAAUGCGUUGUACCCAUGAGAAAAAGUACAAUCAUUGCUAAAACUGAUUGUAAAGUUGUGGUGGUCAUAUCAGAGAAAGGAGGUUUUUGGGAAAUUAAAAGACAACAACUCGAUCACAACCACGAGUUAACACCAAACAGUAGAUUCUUCAGGUCACAUAAGUACAUGUUGGAUGAAGAGAAGUGCUUGAUACAGGUUUUGAAGCAUACAAACCUGGAAACAAGAAGGAUUGUUGCUGUCCUAGCUUACUUGAGAGGAGGAAUGGCUCAUCUACCCUACACAAAGAAGCAUGUGACUAACUAUGCAGCAACAAUAAACAGAGAUAUCACAAACUCUGACAUGAUGGAAGUAGUGCAAAUGUUCAACAAGAAGCAAGCAGAAAAUCCUGGGUUUUGCUACUCGUUUGAGCUUGAUGGAGAGAAUAAAGUGAGAAGCUUAUUCUGGACAGAUGUUAGGUCAAGAAUGAUGUAUGACAUUUGCGGUGAUUGCAUCAGUUUUGACACUACAUUCCUGACAAACAGAUACAACCUAGCGUUUGCACCCUUUGUUGGAAUAUCCCCGCAUGGCAACACUUACUUGUUUGCUUGUGCCUUCAUUAUCAAUGAGACAAAAGAAACAUUUGCUUGGUUGUUUGAACAAUUCCUAAUGGCUAUGGGAGGCAAGCAUCCUAUAUCAAUCAUUACAGAUCAGGACAAGGCUAUGCAAGCAGCAAUUGAAAAAGUCUUUCCUAAUGCUAUCCAUAGGAGCUGCCUGUUUCACAUAAAGAAAAAGGCAGAGGAGAAAGUUGGGCCAUGUUUCCAAGCUAAUGAAGGCCUAUAUGAAGAUUUCAAGGACACUGUGGACAAAUCUUUGACUGUGGAAGAAUAUGAAACACACUGGCAAGAAAUGAUUGAAAAGUACAAAGUUCACGACAUAAAGUACUUCAGCGACAUGUGGGAAAACAGGAAAAAGUUCAUACCAGUGUAUUUCAAGGACAAAUUCUUCCCAUUCAUACAAACUACAACAAGAAGUGAAGGAACAAAUUCCCUCUUCAAAAAAGGGGUUGGAGCUAAAUUCAGUGCUACCAGCUUUUUAAGAGAGUAUGACCGGAUUCUUGAUGUUGUACAUGACAGGGAAGAAGAAUGUGAUCAUGUUUCUAGAAACAAGAAGGUUGCAAGCAAAGCUUUCUGGUCGAAAUACAACAUAGAAAGGCAAGCACAUGAGCUGUAUAACCUUGGAAUAUUCAGAAAAUUCCAGCAUAAAAUGGCAGACACAAAAAGGCUGCUUGUCUUUGAGCAAGAAAAAGACAAAUACUACAUAGUUACCCAAGCUGAAAACUACCCUGUAAAAGAACGCGGAAAAGGUUAUACCUAG